AAUAAGACUAAUAAUCGCCCGCAGCUUCAAACUGAGUCUUCAAACCCGUGUCACUGAAAGGGGAGGAGACUUUGGGGUGAGAACAAACCACACGUUCUCAGUAGAGAAUGGAAAUACCGUAAAAAAAAAAAAAAGAGUAAAU